CAGACCUUCAACCUCACAUCAAUAGAUUUAAAAAAUAAAAAUCUAAAAAAGAUGAAUAGUCAUCAUCCCUCCUCUCGUCCUUUGGACGUAGCCUGCUCGGUGUAGCUCAUCCAGCUCUCCGUCUGGUAGUACAUCUGAGUCGGCGCUUAGUUACAGGGCAGCCGCAGCAAUACAUAGUCAGCUGGGCGGGGUGCCGCUUCCACGUGCACCAGGGGUCUCAAUCAUGUCGUGGACAUUGGGAGCUGCGCCAGUUGCCAGUGGCCACACCGGAGUCCAGCAGUUCCUUAAUUGUCUUCUGGAUGUCUUUAUUAAGGCACUUUGCAAGGGUCUCUGAAGAUACACUGGGUCCACUGCAGGUGGCAGUGUGACCUCAAAGCUCCAAUCCUCAGCCACGCCACAACACCUGACAGUCCGAAGGUAUCGCCUCAAGACAGCAGGAGCAGGCGGAAAUGCGCAGCACCAAGUUAUCCCCGCUGCCGCCCCAUGUCAUGCCAGCGGAUCCCCCUCUUUGUGGACUUCGAGGUAAUCGGCUGGGCUGGCUGGAUCAUUUCUCCACGGGGUUACAAUGCUUACUACUGCAAGAGCUCCUGUCCGUUCCACGAAUGAUCCGUGCCACGAAUCACGCGACUGUGCAGUCUGUCAUGCACGCUCUAAAGCUCUCCAAUGAGGAGGAAAACGUGGUUCUGAAACAGUAUGACGAUAUGGUUUCGUUUUGAACAGCUUUCAGAAAUCUUGGUUGAAUUGAAAAUAUUAACAUUAUGUCCAGUGAUUCAGGUAUAAAUGUAUGUUUUUGUAAGAAAUAAAAGUUGGUUGUUGCAAUUGAA